GGCCAGCAAGCAGCACCCUCGAUGGCCUCUGCAUCAGCUCCCACCGUCAGGUUCCUGCCCUGUUUGAGUUCCUGUCCUGACUUCCUUCAAUGAACAGUGAUGAGGAAGUGUAAGUUGAAUGAACCCUUUUCUUCCCCAAGCUGCUUUUGUCAUGUGUUUCAUCAUAGAAGCAGUAACCUUAACUAAGACAUUUUCUCCUUUUGACAAGUGAGAUUAUGAAAUCACUCUGGAGAUUGCCUUGGACAAGAUUAUAAUGUAAUAAAGUAAGAACAAGAGGUGUCAGGGUUGUUCAAGGGAGUUAGGACAUAUCAUUUGCUGUCAACUGGGUUUCUGGUGAAAUUCCAAGAAAACCGCAAGUUUACUGCUGGGAGUGGAGAAAGGACUCAAACAAAUGUCAAUUGUUCUGAAAUUCUUGAACCUCAGCUGGCAAGAGGCUUCAACCACGCUCCUGGGGUGAGAACGUCUUUCCUUUUCCAUGUCCUCCUAACCUUCCUUAUCAAGCCUGCUCAGAACUUGCAGAAUUUCUUUCCAAAAUAGAUUUAAUUUGUUUCAUCUACCUAACUCCUAAGUCCCCAUCAACUUCAUCUCCAAUAACUUUAUUUAAUGUAAAAACUGGUGUGUAGUGUGUGUGUGUGUGUGUGUGUGUGUACACAUGUGCAUCAUGGUUCAUGUGUGGUCAGAAGACAAUUAUCGGGAGUCUGUUCUCUCCUUCCACCGUGCAAGUUCUGAGGCUUGAAGUCAUCACUCUGCAAGUACCUUUACCCACUGAACCACCUCCGUGGCCUCCUGGACUUUCGAGGUUUUGUAUGCCUUUUUUUUUAAUGGGGUCUUGCUAUGUAGCAAUCUUCUUGCCUCAGCUCUUCUACACUGUGAUUACAGCUGUGAGUCCCCUCACCUGUAUCUGGUUCCCUUUUUAAAGAGUAAGUGGGUGCUGAGGAGGUGGCGUAGCUGGAUCCCCAACACCCUUGUAACAGCCGUGUCUGUAACCCAGGGCUGGGAAGUGGAUACAGGAAUGCCUUGGGGCUCCUGAGCAAGCUAAUGGAGUCUAAUCGGUGAGUUCUAGGUGUAAUGAAACUCUAGCUCAUGACUUCAGGUGAUCGAAGGCUGGAGAGAUGGCUCAGCAGUUAAGAGUGCAUACUGCUCUUGCAGAGGACUGGAGGUCAGGCCCCAUCACCCACAGUGAGCAGCUCACAGCUGCCUGAAAUGUCAGCUCUAGGAGCGCCCAACCCUCUCGCCUCUGCAGGCUCUUGCACUCCUGCACAUGCCCCCCCCAUAUACACAUAUGUGCAUGGUUUAAAAUAAUAAAAUAAAAUGACUAUUUUUAUGUCAGCUUUUUAAGUUGGGUAUGGUGGCACACACCUUAAUCCCAGCACUCCAGAGUCAGAGACAGACAGAUCCCUGUAAGUUUGAGGCCAGCCUCAUCUACAUAUCAAGUUCCAGGCCAGCCUGCGAUACAAAGAGAAAGACUGUUAGAGAGAAAGAAAGAAAGAAAGAAAGAAAGAAAGAAAGAAAGAAAGAAAGAAAGAAAGAAAGAAAGAAAGGAAGGAAGAAAGAAAGGAAGAAAGAAAGAAACUAAGAGAUGGUGAGUGACAGAGAAAUACAUUCCCUCCAUAGGCACCUGCAAACACCUGUAUACCCACAGAACACACACACACACACACAGAGCCUCAGGCUUCAAAAAGCCUUUCAAUGUUUGCACACCUUCCUAUAAAGAGGCCAAGGUUUUGGAUGACUGGUCUCACUUUCCUUUACUUAACGUCUGGGUUGUCACAGUCUCACCAGGCUGGCUUUUUUCAUUUUUUCAGUUCUUCUUUCGGUAGCGAACAGAGAACAUUCCUGCUUGCUUCAAGCCUUUGCACAUAGGUCAUGUGUUCAGCUCUGAGCACUGCCUCUCACCCCCACCCCGCGCUGGACAAUCUCAUUUUCUGGGGCCUUAGCUUCAGUAACAGUUAAUUUUUCCAGUUUGUUUUGUUCUGCUUUGUUUGACUGUUUUUAAGGUAGGAUCUUACUAUGAAGCUUUUGCUGUCCUGGAACUCACUAUGUACAGACUGACCCUGAACUCAGAGGCCUGCCUGUUUCUACCUCCCGAGUACUGGGAUAAAAGUGCCAUGAUUUGCAACUAUGUACCAUGUACCGGUGUGACCGCUGGACUGGACUGCUAGCCACUCUGUCAGGGCCAAGGCGCAGCUCAGUCAGUGCACUGAAGCCCGGGGCCCUGUUCCCAGCAUCGCACACAACUGUGCAUGUCUGGAUUCCUAGCACUUGGAAGGUGGAGUCAGGAGGCUCAGAAAUUCCAGGAUACCCUCAGACAUGUCUGCAACCCGAGAUAAGGAGCAGGAACAGCUUAGAAGCCUUAAUGUCUCUGUUCACUCACCUGUGAGGAGUCUAAAAAGCAAGCCCAGAUAGCACCAGCUGUCUGGGAAAGGUGGUCUGAAGCUAUCUCUCCAUCCUGCGGAGCCAGCGAGGACAAAGCACCCAGGCUUUGUUGGAGCCCUGUCUGGGUGGGUCCUGUCUGUCUGGGUGGGCCCUGUAGCAAGCAACAGCAGUUAUCUAUUUCUCUUCUCC